rnacentral:rRNA from 1 species
GCAUAACGCGAAGAACCUUACCAGGCCUUGACAUCCUGAGAACCCUCCCGAAAAGGAGGGGUGCCCUUCGGGGAACUCAGUGACAGGUGCUGCAUGGCUGUCGUCAGCUCGUGUCGUGAGAUAUUCGGUUAAGUCCGGCAACGAGCGCAACCCUCGCCAUUAGUUGCCAGCAUUUCGGAUGGGCACUCUAGUGGGACUGCCUAUGAAAGUAGGAGGAAGGCGGGGAUGACGUCUAGUCAGCAUGGUCCUUACGGCCUGGGCGACACACGUGCUACAAUGGCCGGUACAACGCGCUGCCACCUCGCGAGAGGGAGCUAAUCGUUAAAGCCGGUCCCAGUUCGGAUUGCAGUCUGCAACUCGACUGCAUGAAGUUGGAAUCGCUAGUAAUCGCGGAUCAGCCAUGCCGCGGUGAAUACGUUCCCGGGUCUUGUACACACCG